AACGAACGCUGGCGGCGUGCUUAACACAUGCAAGUCAGACGGGAAAGUGCUCUUCGGAGGACGAGUACCGUGGCGAACGGGUGAGUAACACGUGGGCAAUCUGCCCUUGGGAUCGGGAUAACCCGCCGAAAGGCGUGCUAAUACCGGAUAAGACCACGCUGUCCCCGGACAGUGCGGUAAAAGGUGGCCUCUCCAUGGAAGCUAUCACCUGAGGAUGAGCCCGCGGCCUAUUAGCUUGUUGGUGAGGUAACGGCUCACCAAGGCGACGAUGGGUAUCCGGCCUGAGAGGGUGAACGGACACACUGGCACUGAGACACGGGCCAGACUCCUACGGGAGGCAGCAGUGGGGAAUUUUGCGCAAUGGGGGAAACCCUGACGCAGCAACGCCGCGUGAGUGAUGAAGGCCUUCGGGUCGUAAAGCUCUUUUAGUGGGGAAGAAACACCCUGGGACGAAUAAUCCCAGGACUUGACGGUACCCACAGAAAAAGUUCCGGCUAACUACGUG
rnacentral:rRNA from 1 species